UCUCCCUGGAAAACGGGUGGUAAUGCCGGAUGCUCCGACUCCUCGCAUGGGGUGUCGGGAAAGAUUUCAUCGGUAUGGGAUGGGGUCGCGUCCUAUCAGGUAGUCGGCGGGGUAACGGCCCACCGAGCCUACGACGGGUAGCCGGCCUGAGAGGGCGACCGGCCACAUUGGGACUGAGAUACGGCCCAGACUCCUACGGGAGGCAGCAGUGGGGAAUAUUGCACAAUGGGCGCAAGCCUGAUGCAGCGACGCCGCGUGCGGGAUGACGGCCUUCGGGUUGUAAACCGCUUUUGAUCGGGAGCAAGCCUUCGGGUGAGUGUACCUUUCGAAUAAGCACCGGCUAACUACGUGCCAGCAGCCGCGGUAAUACGUAGGGUGCAAGCGUUAUCCGGAAUUAUUGGGCGUAAAGGGCUCGUAGGCGGUUCGUCGCGUCCGGUGUGAAAGUCCAUCGCUUAACGGUGGAUCUGCGCCGGGUACGGGCGGGCUGGAGUGCGGUAGGGGAGACUGGAAUUCCCGGUGUAACGGUGGAAUGUGUAGAUA
rnacentral:rRNA from 1 species